GGGAAGGUGGCUCAAUGGUAGAGUGCUUGCCUUGCAUGCAUGAGGCCCUGGGUUCAAUUCCACACCACCACA
rnacentral:tRNA from 1 species